AUAGCAGAAUUGGAAGGGAUCUUGGAGGUCUUCUAAUCCAGUAGUCGCCAACUAGUGGGCCGGGCACCACUGGUGGUCCGUGAGAAAAUGUUGGUGGUCCACAGAGAAAUGUCACCCCAAAGCACCCCCCAAAGCAAUUAAUCCAUGCUGCACAGGAACACAAGGCUGUGCC